rnacentral:rRNA from 1 species
AUUGAACGCUGGCGGCAUGCCUUACACAUGCAAGUCGAACGGCAGCACGGGAGCAAUCCUGGUGGCGAGUGGCGAACGGGUGAGUAAUGUACCGGAACGUGCCCAGUCGUGGGGGAUAACGUAGCGAAAGCUACGCUAAUACCGCAGACGAUCUAGGGAUGAUAGCUGGGGACCGUAACGCCUCGCGCGACUGGAGCGGACGAUAUCAGAUUAGGUAGUUGGUGGGGUAAAGGCCUACCAAGCGGACGAUCUGUAGCUGGGCUGAGAGGACGACCAGCCACACUGGGACUGAGACACGGCCCAGACUCCUACGGGAGGCAGCAGUGGGGAAUUUUGGACAAUGGGCGCAAGCCUGAUCCAGCAAUGCCGCGCGCAGGAUGAAGGCCUUCGGGUUGUAAACUGCUUUUGUACGGAGCGAAAAGGCUCUCUCUAAUACAGGGGGCUCAUGACGGUACCGUAAGAAUAAGCACCGGCUAACUACGUGCCAGCAGCCGCCGCAGUAA